rnacentral:sRNA from 1 species
CUCGGCAGUGCCGGAGUCGGGUGGGUUGGCGGCUAUAAAGCUGGUGGCGAAGGGGAGGCGCCGCGGACUGUCCUUUCGUGGCUCACUCUGUUUCCUCUGCUGCCGCUCGGUCACGCUUGUGCCCGAAGGAGGAAACAGUGACAGACCUGGAGACUGCAGUUCUCUGUCCUUCACACAGCUCUUUCACCAUGCCUGGAUCACUUCCUUUGAAUGCAGAAGCUUGCUGGCCAAAAGAUGUGGGAAUUGUUGCCCUUGAGAUCUAUUUUCCUUCUCAAUAUGUUGAUCAAGCAGAGUUGGAAAAAUAUGAUGGUGUAGCUGCUGGAAAGUAUACCAUUGGCUUGGGCCAGGCCAAGAUGGGCUUCUGCACGGAUAGAGAAGAUAUUAACUCUCUUUGCAUGACUGUGGUUCAGAAUCUUAUGGAGAGAAAUAACCUUUCCUAUGAUUGCAUUGGGCGGCUGGAAGUUGGAACAGAGACAAUCAUUGACAAAUCAAAGUCUGUGAAGACUAAUUUGAUGCAGCUGUUUGAAGAGUCUGGGAAUACAGAUAUAGAAGGAAUUGACACAACUAAUGCAUGCUAUGGAGGCACAGCUGCUGUCUUCAAUGCUGUUAACUGGAUUGAGUCCAGCUCUUGGGAUGGUAUGUUACAUGCGUAUUCCCUGCCGUCCCCCCAAAUUUUUUCUAAGGUUCAAUAGACCCAAAUGACACUU